GACGUAGGGGGCAAGCGGUGUCCGGAAUUACUGGGCGUAAAGGGCGUGUAGGCGGUUGUGGACGUAGCGGUUUUCAGCCGUCGGCUCACCCGACGGAGGGCGGCUAAACGGCGCAGCUCGAGGGCAGGAGAGGUGCAUGGAAUUCCUGGUGGAGCGGUGAAAUGCGUAGAGAUCAGGAAGAACACCGGUGACGAAGGCGGUGCACUGGCCUGGCCCUGACGCUGAGGCGCGACAGCGUGGGGAGCGAACGGG
rnacentral:rRNA from 1 species